rnacentral:snRNA from 1 species
UUUAUAUGAAAAAUAUGGGU